GAUGAACGCUGGCGGCGUGCCUAAUACAUGCGAGUCGAGCGAACGGACGAGAAGCUUGCUCCUCUGACGUUAGCGGCGGACGGGUGAGUAACACGUGGAUAACCUACCUAUAAGACUGGGAUAACUUCGGGAAACCGGAGCUAAUACCGGAUAAUAUUUUGAACCGCAUGGUUCAAAAGUGAAAGACGGUUUUGCUGUCACUUAUAGAUGGAUCCGCGCUGCAUUAGCUAGUUGGUAAGGUAACGGCUUACCAAGGCAACGAUGCAUAGCCGACCUGAGAGGGUGAUCGGCCACACUGGAACUGAGACACGGUCCAGACUCCUACGGGAGGCAGCAGUAGGGAAUCUUCCGCAAUGGGCGAAAGCCUGACGGAGCAACGCCGCGUGAGUGAUGAAGGUCUUCGGAUCGUAAAACUCUGUUAUUAGGGAAGAACAUAUGUGUAAGUAACUAUGCACGUCUUGACGGUACCUAAUCAGAAAGCCACGGCUAACUACGUG
rnacentral:rRNA from 1 species